rnacentral:rRNA from 2 species
GAACGCUGGCGGCGUGCCUAAUACAUGCAAGUCGAACGAACUCUGGUAUUGAUUGGUGCUUGCAUCAUGAUUUACAUUUGAGUGAGUGGCGAACUGGUGAGUAACACGUGGGAAACCUGCCCAGAAGCGGGGGAUAACACCUGGAAACAGAUGCUAAUACCGCAUAACAACUUGGACCGCAUGGUCCGAGUUUGAAAGAUGGCUUCGGCUAUCACUUUUGGAUGGUCCCGCGGCGUAUUAGCUAGAUGGUGAGGUAACGGCUCACCAUGGCAAUGAUACGUAGCCGACCUGAGAGGGUAAUCGGCCACAUUGGGACUGAGACA